UGAAGCUGGAUUCGCUAGUAAUCGCGCAUCAGCCAUGGCGCGGUGAAUACGUUCCCGGGCCUUGUACACACCGCCCGUCAAGCCAUGGGAGUCGGGAGUGCCUGAAGUUCGUGACCGUCACAGGAGCGACCUAAGGCAAGACCGAUGACUGGGGCUAAGUCGUAACAAGGUACC
rnacentral:rRNA from 1 species